rnacentral:rRNA from 1 species
CCUACGGGAGGCAGCAGUGGGGAAUAUUGCACAAUGGGGGAAACCCUGAUGCAGCGACGCCGCGUGAGUGAAGAAGUAUUUCGGUAUGUAAAGCUCUGUUAGCAGGGAAGAAAAUGACGGUACCUGAGUAAGAAGCCCCGGCUAACUACGUGCCAGCAGCCGCGGUAAUACGGAGGGGGCAAGCGUUAUCCGGAUUUACUGGGUGUAAAGGGAGCGUAGACGGGAGUGCAAGUCUGGAGUGAAAGGCGGGGGCUCAACCCCCGGACUGCUCUGGAAACUGUACGGCUGGAGUGCAGGAGAGGUAAGUGGAAUUCCUAGUGUAGCGGUGAAAUGCGUAGAUAUUAGGAGGAACACCAGUGGCGAAGGCGGCUUACUGGACUGUAACUGACGUUGAGGCUCGAAAGCGUGGGGAGCAAACAGGAUUAGAUACCCUUGUAGUC